GGUUCCAUUUUCCGAGGUCCACAGACCUUGUUUAGAUGAUGAAUGCCGUCUGGAUCUCUAGUCAAGAUUUAGCCAAAAACUGAACUGGGAAGCCAGCAUUUUAUAUUGGCGUGACAGUUAAUGAACUGAGCAUAGCUCGGUGGAACUACACUUUCUAUUUGUGUGUGAUGGAAAUUGGCUAAAAGUAAGAGAUGGACCUUCCUCCUCUCCUACCUGUCCCAAACCAGGAUACUACUCUGAGGAGCUUUGGAGGAGUGUGAAGUCCCAGUGCAGAAGAGACAAAUAUGGUUUUCACACGGGAUUGUGCAGCUGCUGUUCCCAUCAGCUGUCCCAGGUACAUAAAUCUCAUCCUGAAUUUGGCUGCUUGAAGCUUCUUGUAAAAUGCUGAUCGAAUGCU
ensembl:lncRNA